UACGUAGGGGGCAAGCGUUGUCCGGAAUCAUUGGGCGUAAAGAGCGUGUAGGCGGCCCGGUAAGUCCGCUGUGAAAGUCCAGGGCUCAACCCUGGGAUGCCGGUGGAUACUGUCGGGCUCGAGUCCGGAGGAGGAGUGUGGAAUUCCUGGUGUAGCGGUGAAAUGCGCAGAUAUCAGGAGGAACACCAACGGCGAAGGCAGCUCGCUGGGACGGUACUGACACUAAGGCGCGAAAGCGUGGGGAGCGAACAGG
rnacentral:rRNA from 1 species